GGGUAUGAAGGCAAGUGGUCUAAGCCGCCGGGAUCUGACCCCGGAGAACGUCGGUUCGAAUCCGACUGCCCCCGCCA
rnacentral:tRNA from 1 species